rnacentral:rRNA from 1 species
UGAGGGGCAGCAUGAAUAGUAGCAAUAUUAUUUGAUGGCGACCAGCGCACGUGUGCGUAACACGUAUGCAAUCUACCUUGUACUGGGGCAUAACUUCGAGAAAUCGUUGCUAAUUCCCCAUAAGACUAUAGAGUGGCAUCACUUAGUAGUUAAAACUCCGGUGGUACAAGAUGAGCAUGCGCCCAAUUAGCUAGUUGGUGAGGUAAUAGCUCACCAAGGCUACGAUUGGUAGGGGUUCUGAGAGGAUGAUCCCCCACACUGGUACUGAGACACGGACCAGACUCCUACGGGAGGCAGCAGUGAGGAAUAUUGCGCAAUGGACGAAAGUCUGACGCAGCCAUGCCGCGUGAAGGAUGAAGGUCCUAUGGAUUGUAAACUUCUUUUGUAUGGGAAUAAACGCUUCUACGUGUAGAAGCCUGAAGGUACCAUAAGAAUAAGCACCGGCUAACUCCGUGCCAGCAGCCGCGGUAAUACGGAGGGUGCAAGCGUUAUCCGGAUUUAUUGGGUUUAAAGGGUUCGUAGGCGGACUAUUAAGUCAGUGGUGAAAGCCCUCUGCUCAACAGAGGAAUUGCCAUUGGUACUGAUAGUCUUGAGUGUAAGUGAAGUUGGCGGAAUGUGUGGUGUAGCGGUGAAAUGCUUAGAUAUCACACAGAACACCGAUUGCGAAGGCAGCUGGCUAACUUACAACUGACGCUGAGGA